GUGAGGAAUAUUGGACAAUGGGCGCAAGCCUGAUCCAGCCAUGCCGCGUGCAGGAAGACGCAUCUAUGGUGUGUAAACUGCUUUUGUACGGGAAGAAACACUCCCUCGUGAGGGAGCUUGACGGUACCGUAAGAAUAAGGAUCGGCUAACUCCGUGCCAGCAGCCGCGGUAAUACGGAGGAUCCAAGCGUUAUCCGGAAUCAUUGGGUUUAAAGGGUCCGUAGGCGGUUUAAUAAGUCAAUGGUGAAAGCCCAUCGCUCAACGAUGGAACGGCCAUUGAUACUGUUAGACUUGAAUUACAAGGAAGUAACUAGAAUAUGUAGUGUAGCGGUGAAAUGCUUAGAUAUUACAUGGAAUACCAAUUGCGAAGGCAGGUUACUACUUGUGGAUUGACGCUGAUGGACGAAAGCGUGGGGAGCGAACAGGAUUAGAUACCCGAGUAGUCC
rnacentral:rRNA from 1 species